ACCCACUGUGGUGUAGUUGGUAGCGCUUGACUUAGUAAUGAUAAGUCCCUGGUUCAAGUCCCGGUUGGGGUA